rnacentral:sRNA from 1 species
UCCUCCGAGCGCCUCCCAGCUCAAGGCGCUCCCCGAACCCGGCUCCAAGGGACUCGGUAUUCCCCAGCGCCGGCUCCGGGCAGUCCCGGAAGGGCUCAAGGGCUGGGCGCGCUGGCUGAUCGAGACCGUCCGGGUCCUGGCUCUCGGGUCACUUGCAGAGGCCUGAGCAGAGCGUUAAUGAGAAUGAUCCAGAAGGGAGGAGAAGCGAAUGGUGCAGUGGAGAGCAGAGUCCCUGAGCAGGUGAGCAGGGAUGGGGGCCCAUGCCCAUGUGGGAAGCGGGCGCCACAGUGCUUCACGAUGGAAGGCAGAACGCCUGGGCCAGGGUGCAGGCAGGUGUCACAGAGAAUGUCCUUCAUGACCACAUCCUAAUUCCCAGAACCUGCAAAUAUGCUACUUUACAUGGCAAAAGGGAGUUUGCAAAUGUGAUUAAGAAUUAAGCUAAAGACCUUCAUACAGGGAGAUUAUCCUGGAUUCUCCAGGGGGCUGGUGUCAUCACAAGGAUCUUUAAAAGUAGAAGUAAGGAGGAGACGUGACCAAGGAAGAAGGGUCAGAGAGAUGCAACGCUUCCGAGGAACUCUGAGGAUGGAGGAAGGGACCACCCUCCAAGGAAUGUGGGUGGCCCCUGAAUGAAGAGGCAGGAGAAGGAACACAGCCCUGCCUGCCAACACCUUGAUCUUAGCCCAGUGAAUCCUGACAGACUUCUAACCCGUGGAACUGCAAGACAAUAACCGUGUGUUUGAAGCCACCAAGAGUGUGGUCGUUGGUUUUGGCAGCCAUAGAAAAGUAAUACAGUGGGUCAGGGAUCCGGGUGGGAAGGAGACAGCCCUCAGAGAAGGGAUCCGGGUGGGAAGGAGACAGCCCUCAGAGAAGGGGUCCGGGUGGGAAGGAGACAGCCCUCAGAGAAGGGAUCCGGGUGGGAAGGAGACAGCCCUCAGAGAAGGGAUCUGGGUGGGAAGGAGACAGCCCUCAGAGAAGGGCUUGUGGGGAGUCUGGGGGUGCUGGGAGAGGAGCUGGUGUGAAACAACCAGCUGACUGGGAAGCUGGUGGCCCUAGGCCGCACCGCAGGCAAGAGCAGCUCUCAGCCCCAGGAGGCCAACGGUGGUCACUGGUGUGGGAGCCAGUUACAUUUCCAAAAGAAGCUGCACUUGAGGAUUACUGUGAAGCUGACUUUAGGGCUGGAGGGGCACGGGGCCUAAGUUCUGGGUUAGUGGCUUCUGACCCUGGUCCUAGCAAUGCUUUUACUCCAGGUCAGCCUCCUGCACCUUGCCUCCUGGGCUUCCCCUUGACCCCCUCCUAGGGCAUCUGGGAAGGUGUGAUGAGUGGACUUGAGAGGUGAAAGUUGUUCCUUUGAAGCAGUCCGUGGCUGAUGCUCCCUGAAUGACAUGAGAGCUCAUUGGCAUAGCCUCUGGGUGCUACUGGGAACCAGGGCUUUCAGGAUGGCCCGUUAUCCAUCCGUGUCCUGGUGGGUACAUCCUACAUCAGCCUGUCUGAGGACAUUAAAAUAAUCCCAGGAAUGAUA